rnacentral:rRNA from 1 species
GACGAACCGUGCGAACGUUGUUCGGAAUCACUGGGCUUAAAGGGCGCGUAGGCGGGCCUCCCAGUCCGGGGUGAAAGCUUUCGGCUUAACCGGAAAAGUGCCUUGGAUACUGGAGGUCUGGAGGGAGGUAGGGGCAGUCGGAACUUCCGGUGGAGCGGUGAAAUGCGUUGAUAUCGGAAGGAACGCCGGUGGCGAAAGCGGACUGCUGGACCUUUCUGACGCUGAGGCGCGAAAGCCAGGGGAGCGAACGGG